rnacentral:tRNA from 1 species
GCCGAUGUAGCUCAGUUGGUAGAGCAGCUCACUCGUAAUGAGCAGGUCACCGGUUCGAGCCCGGUCAUCGGCUCCA